GUAGGAGUUAUGUUCUUGAAACCCAAAGGAUUUGGCGGUGUUUUAGUCUUUUCAGAGGAAUCUGCCCCGUAAUCGAUAUUCCACGAUAUAAUUUACUUUUAUUUGUUUUCAGUUUAUAUACCUCCGUCAUAAGAAUUUCUUUUUAGAGUUAAUUUUCUUUAUAAUUAAAUGUAAAUAUGUCAGGUCAAGGUUUAGUUUAUGUAAAAGUGGAGGUGGGUUACAAUAAAUUUAUUUAUUACGAAUAAUUAUAAUUAAUUAUGAUUUGAAGGUGGAUUUGAAAGUAAAUUAAUUUAUUAGGUUUUUUGAUUUUAGCUCUAAAAUAUGCACACAUCGCCCG
rnacentral:rRNA from 1 species